GACUGAGAGGCAGAGAGCAGUGAUUGGUCAGACCAUAGAGCAUAGAGCUAGCGUAUCUAGUCUGCUAUAUAUAGCUAUGGUCGGCACGUCUGGUAGCAUCUCUGGCUGCUGUUGACCUUGUUUUGGAGUAAAACACGGUGGAAGCUGAAUUAGUGAGGAUGACUCCGGCUCCUGUCAUCUCUAAGCUCCUCACACAUCUUUACCUGCACAUGAGGAAAAUCACUCCUGUAGAAUGCAGAUGUUCAGAGGGAGAUGAUGCCACAUCUGGUCCAGCUGAUGGAAGGUCUUGAAGUUCUCUGACUGGCCUCGACUGAAGAUGGUCGUCUCACUGGAUUUAAGGUUCAGAUGCUCAGUAACAAACUCCACCAAUGAGCCAACAGGGAAGCUUUAGGUUUAUUAAAUGUUGCUAUGAAGGUUUCGCUGUUUUUCUUUGUGAAUGCAAUGUGCUCCAACUGAAACUUGAAUUAGAACUUAGAAGUAAAUCCUUCCAUCUGAAAGUAUUUAGUUGCAUCAAUAACCUCAUAACAUUCUAAUUUUUAUUCCAGUCUUGGUUGGAAAUGGAAUCUCUGUAUUGAUUCAGGUAAAAACUGAACUUCACAGCAUGUUGGAGCAAAACAACCAGAUGAAAACUGUGAUGGUGUUGGAUUGUCAGACCGUAAUGUUGCAGCUCAAAGCAGCUUUUCUAGCUCAGUUCAUUCUGACAUUCAGCUAUGAAUCAACACAGCAGAUGGUGAUCCAUGCUGUGGAAGUCUCACAUCUCCUGAUUUAAUGCAGCUGCUUUGCACUUUUUACACUGUUUAUUCACCAACACUUUAUUUAAUAAAAGUCCCAUCUAGUUUUUAUGAGGAAUGUGAUGUUUUAAUUUCUCUGUGAAUAACUGCAGUCUAAUGUAACAGCUGGAGUUGUAACAUCUGUCCUGAUAUUGAUCAUGAAGUAUUGAUCAGAAUACUUAUGAUUAGCAGUCAUUCCUGAAGUUUUACAUUCAAAUCUUUACUUGUGUUGUGAACUUUGGUAAGAAGCAGAAACUUUUGCGUUGCCAUGGAUACAUGAGUGUUAAAUUCUGUCCAUGUUUCCAUUUUGGGAAAUGCAGUCCAGUUCCAGAAUGUGGAGAAAUUUAGUCUCACAAUCACAGACAACAAAUAUUAUCUGAAAGUCGGGUUAUUGUUGUUUAUCAGCACAAUACAAAAAGAUUAAUGUUAGAAAUAUUCCAGUUAAGACUCUAGAAUAUCAUGAUUUAUGUAAAUAUACCUCCAAUAAUAUGAAUGUUCAGGUUAAGAUUGUACAGUGAUAUUUAUUAUGCAAGUUUAGCUGAUUAAAGUUUAUGACUCUGCACUAAAAUAUUAUUUAUUAUUUAAAUUGACAUCAUUAUUAUAAUAUUUAGGGUCAGACCCUACAGUAUUGAGAUUAAGAAAUCAAAUAUUCUAUAAAAUGUAAAUACACUGAACUCAUUUGAAUAUAUUUAAGUGAGACUCUACAAUAUUAUUUGACACAAAUCUAUCUAAAUCAGAAUUUUAAUAAUUUUCACGCCAAACAUUUACUGGACUGAUUUAAACAUUAAAAUCACUCCUUUCUAAUCCUCUGCUGUACGUUCAAACCUGAGGCCUUAAAUAGAAACACACAAGUAUCUGAUUGAAAGAACUUCUGCAGAGUCCUGGUUCCAGAACAUGAUGAUAGAAUUAUAGACAAACUUUAACAAAAGCUGCCUGAGAGUUUACAGGUUUUUAUGUUAGAUUUCUUCAGUAAUUUAGUGAGAGUUAUCAGCAGAAAUCAAGUGUUCAUUUGAUGAACUUCAUUUCCUAAAACAUCCAGAAUUGGAGCUCAUAUCUUUGGCAGUUGUAAAGUUUCUGCUCCUUUAAAGUUCACAACACAAUGAAUGAAUUCCUAAAACACUCUCAAUGCUGGAGAGCAUUUGAUGCUGAAGCAGUGACCAGUUUUUCUGUUUCUUCUCUGGAGAUGCACAAUGACGGACGUCUGCAGAGACAGAGAAAGAGUCUCACCACAUCCUGACAUGAGGAAAAAGACUACAAUGAGAAAACCUAUCAGACAGCAGACGGCAUGCAUUCAAGGUGAGCUCUGAACAUUUGAUCUGGAACAGGAAUUCAAUAACGGCAGCAUGAGCUUCAUUUCAGUCUGUAGCUGCUGAAUUCAUGGAUGAAUCAUCUGGCACUAGAGAGGAAGACCAUCAAACAUCCACGUCAGCUGAUGGAGGUCCAAGAGUCUCACCAAACAAACAACCUACAGAGUGAAGACCUCAAAUCUGAUUGGACGGCCUCCUAUUCAGCCACAUGUUGGAACAAAUGCCUCUAAGCUGAUUUGUUUUCUAAAAUAAAUCUAGUUUGAGUCCUAA